rnacentral:lncRNA from 1 species
CCCUAUUCAAUCAAAUUAUUUUUUUAAAAUUCAUCCAUCUUAUUAUAAUUUUUUUAAAAAUACUUUUAUUGCAGAUAUAAUUACCUAUUUACCCUCAAAACUUCUGGAAUAUUCUAGAUACUCUUUUUUUUUAUUCAAAUAUACCUCUCUUAUAUUUUUCGUUAUUCUAAAAUAACCUCAUCGUUGCUACCCGUUAAGUUAUCUCGAAUUAAAUUUCUAAUAGAGUUAAAACAGUAUCAAACUACUUUUUUUGCAACUAAUUUAAAAGCAAAUAAUAAGAGUUUGUGACGGUAAAAGAGUUAUUUGAAAGGGAAAAAGUCAGAAUACUUUUUUUUUGUCUCUAACUUUAAGGGCAAUAAGAAAGUUGGUGACGAUAAAACAAUAUAUUUGAAAGAAAAAAUAAGAAUUUUACAGAAAUAAUAGUUAUUUUAAUAAUUUACUAAUAGAAUCUAACUCUACAGAUAUAUUUGAAAAAAAAUUGAAAUGUUAAAAAAGUAUCUUUAUAUAUUAACAUUCUAUAUAAACAGGGUAAUUAAAAAAGUCCAAAAUUUUUGACAAUUAUAUAAGUAACUGUUCUUUUAUUAUAUUUAUUUUUUUAAAAAAUAAAUAUGAUUGGCUGAAUAUAAAU